UAUCUGGUCACCCUAGGGGGCGGGGUGAUGGGGAGCCACACACAGGGCACUGCCCCACUUGGCCACCAGUGCACAUCUCUAGUUGGGGAGUGACACACACCAGGAGCAGGACUCACUGCUACAAAGGGGUUGGAAGAUACCCAGGUACUGCCUGACACGGCCACUCAGGCACCCUGCCACCUUGGGGGAGAUGAAGAUCACACCUCCGGCACUGACUCCUCUGGCUACCAGCGGUCACUGGCCCAAUGCAGGGAUUGGGGUGAGUAAAUACAGGCAACUGCCCGACCUGGGCAACGUAAGUCACCGAGAGUGGGAUAUGCAGAGGGUACUGCCCCAAUGGCUGAUAAACAUAUAGGGCCCUGCCUCACCUACCCACCAGCUCAUAGGCACAGUGGCAAUGAUGGGGUCACAUAGUCAAUGGCCCUCAGUGGCCAUCAGGGGUCACUGCAGCAGUGCUAGGGGCGGGCACAUAACAGGCAUUGUCGCACCUGGCCACUAGGAGUCACUGCUCCAAGAAGGCACCUACAGGGCACUCCCAUGCCUGGCCAGCAGGGGUCACUAUCACAGGGGGGGAGGCUGUGGGGAAGCAGAGAAAGAGCAACUAACUGCAGUGGGGAAAAUCAUAAUCUACUGGGGAGAAAGAACGGACUCCACUAGGACAUUGCACCAACUCUAGCCAGGCUGGAUACGAGCAAUUCGGACUGGAGUAGCUCCAGCUAGAGGCUGGGCGGAGGCAGGUGACCUCAGUCUCUGCGCUGAGCAGGCUGCUUUGGCAGCGAGGAGAGACAGGGAACCCCCCGGCCAGGGUCUUAGUGUCCCAAGAUGGGGAGAUCUGUGGCAGUCUUUGAAGUGGCUGGUUCAGCAGCCGUGAGCUGCAUGCUUGUCCCUGCCUGAGCUCUAGGGGCACAUUACGCACAGGUGUGCACUGGAUGUAGGCACCAGUGUAACGACAGGGCCAGACUCUGCUGAGUGCUGCCUGCAAGAGACAGGGGCAGAUUCAGACAGGCAGAUGGGGGCAGGAGAUGACAGGGCCAGCAAUCAUGAGCUGAAGCCAUCACACUUCCGGCCUGUUUCAUAACCACCCGUCCCUUCAGCUCUCCAUCUGUCCCGCUGUCUGUCCAACCUUCCAGCCUCAUCUGCUCCCACACCCCUUCACCCAUCUGCCUCACACACUCAUCUAUCUCCACAUCAUCCCGCUGGCACUCUGACUGGCCCUGCCCAGCACAGUGAGGUGUGGACAGGGCCAGAUUAACCUUCUGUCAGCUUGGUGCCAAACAUAUUUGUGGGCCCCUGUGGGAAUGGGGCAUGGCAGGAGGGGGGGUUGAUCCCCAGAGUGAGGGGCCGGCCAGAGGCAAGGCAUGGAGGGGAGCUCAGCCCCAGUCCAUGCAGCCCAGUACAAGGGCAGUUUACAACCCCACACCUGCCAGACCCAUACUGGCCCUGCCAGCGUGCUCUGCCAUACCACCCCCGGCCCCACUCAUUACCCCCCACCCUUUAUGUCCAGCAACUCCUAUGCCCAGGGCCUUCUCAUCCAGAGAUCUGGCCCUCAGAUCCCUAUGUCCAGCACCCUCCACUGCCCAGUGCCCCUCUCACAGCCUCCCCACAACUGCCCAGAACCCAAACUCUGUGCACUAUUUUAAAAUUCUGCAAAUGUUAUUUGUCAAUAAAUGAAUGCGGAAACUCCAGCCUGGCAGAGGGGAGCACAGACCACUGGCUGCGUGGAGGUGGGAGAGCACCCUGCAGCCCUCCUCCCCCCCACAUCCUCUCCCAGGAGAGGGACUCAGCCGUGAGGCUGUGUCAGGGUCGAGUGCAGUGUAAGGGAUAGGCCUGCCCCAGAAAUACCCUGAGACCCUGCU